UGGCGGCCGUAGCGCGGUGGUCCCACCUGACCCCAUGCCGAACUCAGAAGUGAAACGCCGUAGCGCCGAUGGUAGUGUGGGGUCUCCCCAUGCGAGAGUAGGGAACUGCCAGAC
rnacentral:rRNA from 1 species